rnacentral:tRNA from 1 species
GCCUGGAUAGCUCAGUGGGUUGAGCGUCUGACUCUGGCUCAGGUCAUGAUCUCACGGUUUGUGGGUUCAAGCCCCGCGUAAGGCU